rnacentral:rRNA from 1 species
UACGUAGGUGGCAAGCGUUAUCCGGAUUUAUUGGGUGUAAAGGGCGUGUAGGCGGGAGCGCAAGUCAGAUGUGAAAACUCAGGGCUCAACCCUGAGCCUGCAUUUGAAACUGUGUUUCUUGAGUGCUGGAGAGGCAAUCGGAAUUCCGUGUGUAGCGGUGAAAUGCGUAGAUAUACGGAGGAACACCAGUGGCGAAGGCAGCAUACCGGUGCACAACUGACGCUCAGGCACGAAAGCGUGGGUAUCGAACAGG